rnacentral:rRNA from 1 species
UACGGGGGGAGCAAGCGUUGUUCGGAUUUACUGGGCGUAAAGGGCGCGUAGGCGGCCAGCGCAAGUCAGUUGUGAAAUCUCCGGGCUUAACUCGGAACGGUCAACUGAUACUGCGCGGCUAGAGUGCGGAAGGGGCAACUGGAAUUCUCGGUGUAGCGGUGAAAUGCGUAGAUAUCGGGAGGAACACCUGAGGCGAAGGCGGGCUACUGGGCCGAUACUGACGCUGAUGCGCGAAAGCCAGGGGAGCGAACGGG